rnacentral:rRNA from 1 species
GACCUCAAAUCAGGUAGGACUACCCGCUGAACUUAAGCAUAUCAAUAAGCGGAGGAAAAGAAACUAACAAGGAUUCCCCUAGUAACUGCGAGUGAAGCGGGAAAAGCUCAAAUUUAAAAUCUGGCGGCCUCCGGUCGUCCGAG